rnacentral:lncRNA from 1 species
AGGGCCGGCCAGGUAGAGGCCAGGGCACGGGUCACUCAGGUAGACCUGGCGGGCGCUGCGCAGCACCAACGACACCAAGAGGUUCUUGUGUAGCUUGAUGCCGCCGCGCUGGACCCGCGAGUUGUAGAUCUUGCCGAGGGAGAUGCUGACGAUGCGGUGAGCCUCCAGCUUGAACUCCAUCCUGCCUCCGCUUCUCGAGAGUGGCGCCUAGACGAUGGGGUGAACGCCGAAGCUGCGAGAGGAGAGGGAGGCGGAAACAGGAUCGCCUCUGGGGUGCACCCUCGGCGGCUGAAAGCUCGGUGGAGAAAAGACCCGGUGACGCGUAGCCCCCUCCGCCUCUUCGCCGCAGACAACAAACCUGAUCUGCGUUAGUCGCUAAACUGAGCGGAACGAGCCCCACACAGCGCCUUAUAUAGACUCCUCGAACGCCAAUCACAAAGCGCCGCCAACCGUUCUGGGCGGGCCGAUUUGCCUCGUGCGCCGUCCCCAGCCAAUCGGAGGCGGAGGAGGGGCGCCAGGGCCGGUUCAAACGUUAGUCCCGCGGAGCAAGCUCUUAAAGAGGGCGAUCGCAGGCGGCCCAGGGACCAAGUGCGGUGGGAUUUGGGUCCGAGGUAACGGUGAAGGAUUUCCUCUAACCCUGAGCCAACAGAAUGGACUCUUCAGAAUCCAUCUCUCAAGGGACCAAGCACUUGUGACAAGGAAGCUUCUACAACCAAAAAUGUGGGGACACAGUGACUAUGAAAUGUGGCUAGUGUGACCCAAGAUACUAAGCAUUCAAUUUUUUUGACUUAAAUCAAUUUUAAAAUAAAAACAGGAUGUCCCUGCCCCUCGAGAAUCCAUUUACUGUGUCAUAUUUUUGAAUCUUGAAGUGAUAAGUGUGACAAAUAUAAAAUACACAGGAGGUUAUAACGAACUUACUCUCAAAAAGAAAAUGUAAAACGCCUCAUUAAUUCUGUGAUGGCAGAGCACAGUAGUGCAUACCUGUGAUCCCAGCACACGGAGGUAAGUUGAGGAAAGAGGAUCAAUGAAAGCUGAAAGCUACCCACGACUACAUAGAGAGACCCUGUCCCAAACAAACAAAGUCCUCCCCUCCCAAAUCACAAUGGAAAUCAUACUAAAAUAUUUUUAUGUAUGGAAACAACAAAAUUUUUUGCUAUGUUGAGUUAAAUAAAAUAAUUUAAACCAAUUAAUAUAUUAUAUUAU